CGGACGGGUGAGUAACGCGUGGGCAACCUGCCCCAUACCGGGGGAUAACAGCCGGAAACGGCUGCUAAUACCGCAUAAGCGCACAGCGCCGCAUGGCGCGGUGUGAAAAACUCCGGUGGUAUGGGAUGGGCCCGCGUCUGAUUAGCCAGUUGGCGGGGCAGCGGCCCACCAAAGCGACGAUCAGUAGCCGGACUGAGAGGUUGGCCGGCCACAUUGGGACUGAGAUACGGCCCAGACUCCUACGGGAGGCAGCAG
rnacentral:rRNA from 1 species